rnacentral:lncRNA from 1 species
AUGUUGUCUAACACCAAUAGAGUUCAGAAUGAAGUGAAGGGGGACAAUGUCUUGUAUAAACAGGCUAAAUACACACUGGAAAAAGAGAUCAAAGUGGCAAAGAGGAAUUAUUCUGAAAAAAUAAGGACUCAGUUCACUUCCAACGACUCCGCAUCAGUGUGGAAAAGUCUAAAGAACAUCACCAAUUACAAGACACCACCCCCCAGCACUGUAGAGAAUCAACGACUGGCAGACGAUCUGAACGAGUUUUACUGCAGGUUUGAAAGAACACCCAUCACCUGCCCUGAACGCCUCCCCACACAACCAUUCACACCAUUCACAACUCCUACAACCAGCUCUGAAUGCCUCUCCAAACAACCGUUCACACCAUUAACAGCUCCUGCAACCCAUCCUGAACACCUCUCCAAUCAAGCACUCUCACCAUUCACACCUCCUGCAUCCCCCCUCUCAGGUGGGGCACCUGCAAUUCAGAUCAGCGAGGAUGCGGUGCGCCAGGUCUUCCGGAAGCAGAAAAGGAAAAAAGCACCAGGCCCAGAUUGUGUUACACCAGCCUGUCUGAAAUCCUGUGCUGACCAGCUGGCCCCUGUCUUCACACAGAUCUUCAACAGAUCGCUGGAGCUGUGCAAAGUCCCUUCAUGCUUCAAACGUUCCACCAUCAUCCCCAUCCCUAAGAAACCCAAAAUUACAGGACUAAAUGACUACAGGCCUGUGGCUCUAACGUCUGUAGUCAUGAAGUCAUUUGAAAAACUGGUGCUGGCCCACCUGAAGGACAUCACUGGGCCCUUGCUGGAUCCUCUUCAGUUUGCCUACAGAGCAAACAGGUCUGUGGACGAUGCAGUAAACAUUGGACUGCAUUAUGUUCUGCAACAUGUUCUGGAUCAACAGCUUUCUGACAGACAGGCAGCAGCUAGUGAGGCUGGGAAAAUACACAUCCAGCACCCGCACAAUCAGCACCGGAGCUCCCCAGGGCUGUGUUCUCUCCCCACUGCUCUUCUCCCUGUACACUAA